rnacentral:rRNA from 1 species
AGACGAACCGUACGAACGUUAUUCGGAAUCACUGGGCUUAAAGGGUGCGUAGGCGGCGCUGAAAGUUGGGUGUGAAAUCCCUCGGCUUAACCGAGGAACUGCGCCCAAAACUUCAGUGCUCGGGGGAGACAGAGGUGAGCGGAACUUAGGGUGGAGCGGUGAAAUGCGUUGAUAUCCUAAGGAACGCCAGUGGCGAAAGCGGCUCACUGGGUCUCUUCUGACGCUGAGAGACGAAAGCGAGGGUAGCGAAUGGGAUUAGAAACCCGAGUAGUCC